CCUACGGGUGGCUGCAGUGGGGAAUAUUGCACAAUGGGGGAAACCCUGAUGCAGCAAAGCCGCGUGAGGGAUGAAGUAUUUCGGUAUGUUACGCUCUAUCUACAGGGGAUAGACACGCAGUUACUUGAAAACUCAGCCCCGGCUCACUACGUGACAGCAGCCGCGGUAAUACGUAGGGGGCCAGCGUUAUCCGGAUUUACUGGGUGUAAAGGGAGCGUAGAGGGAAAGGCAAGUCAGAAGUGAAAGCCCAAGGCUCAACCAUGGGACUGCUUUUGAAACUGGCAAACUAGAGUACGGGAGGGGUAAGAGGAAUCCCUAGUGUAGCGGUGAAAUGCGUAGAUAUGAGGAAGAACACCAGUGGCGAAGGCGGCUUACUGGACCGAAACUGACGUUGAGGCUCGAAAGCGUGGGUAGCAAACAGGAUUAGAUACCCUUGUAGUC
rnacentral:rRNA from 1 species